UACGGAGGAUCCAAGCGUUAUCCGGAUUUAUUGGGUUUAAAGGGUGCGUAGGUGGUUCAUUAAGUCAGGGGUGAAAGACGGCAGCUUAACUGUCGCAGUGCCUUUGAUACUGAUGAACUUGAAUGAACUAGAGGUAGGCGGAAUGUGACAAGUAGCGGUGAAAUACAUAGAUAUGUCACAGAACACCAAUUGCGAAGGCAGCUUACUAUGGUUUGAUUGACACUGAGGCACGAAAGCGUGGGGAUCAAACAGG
rnacentral:rRNA from 1 species